UGAGCAAUCUGCCCUUCUCUUCGGAAUAAGCGUUGGAAACGACGUCUAAUGCCGAAUACGACCUCUUUUCGCAUGAUCGGAGGUGGAAAGCUCCGGCGGAGAAGGAUGAGCUCGCGGCCUAUCAGCUAGUUGGUGUGGGUAAUGGCCCACCAAGGCGACGACGGGUAGCCGGCCUGAGAGGGUGACCGGCCACACUGGGACUGAGACACGGCCCAGACUCCUACGGGAGGNAG
rnacentral:rRNA from 1 species